rnacentral:tRNA from 1 species
GGUCCCGUAGCCAAGUGGCUAAGGCAAUGGACUGCAACUCCGUGACCAGCGGUUCGAAUCCGCUCGGGACCUCCA